rnacentral:lncRNA from 1 species
UCUCUUUGUUCUCUUCUACACAAGGCCAAAAUCACAUCCUCUCCUUCUUUCUCCAUGCCUAGAAAAAGCCACGACUUCAAGAAAAACCAUCAAACUGAUGAUCCUGUUGAUGUAGAAUCCUCAUAAAGCACAUAUCGUCUAUUCUCCGAUGAUGAUUCCAGUGAUUCUCAAGAAGAUAUUCUCGUAUCCCAAUAGAGGACUAGAAAUCAUCGUGCAUCCCCAAACAUUCUUCUCAAAAAGAGGUAAAACUAAAAGCAUAAAGUUUAGCUCUGAAGACAAGAUAAAUUUCUAUGGCCCCCGAUGAG